AAAGACAGAGAAUUGGGGUUUUUUUUUCAUAGGGUUUUGGGAAGAUUGAGACAAUCAUUGCUAAAAGUCAGUGUUGUACUAGUGAAUCGGGAUUUUAAUGAAGUGGGUGUGAUUACUCUUGACUGUUUUGUGAAAUCAAAGUUACGUCUGUGAUUAAAGAAUUAAAAGGGUGUCUAUAGGAUUGAAUAUGCGGAGUGAAUGAAAAUUUUUGGAUUAAUCUAACAAGACAGUCAAUGGAUACAAGGUCGUGAGUA
rnacentral:lncRNA from 1 species